rnacentral:lncRNA from 1 species
UAAACAUGUCUCUUCCAAACUUCCAUUACAGGUAGACUUCAGUCGAGCUUCUUCGUAGCCGAAUCCCAGACGAGCUUCUACAGCGGGACAGAACCCACCGGCCAGAUCGCUACUCCGAGCUCCCACGACAACCGAUCUUCGAUCGAGCUUCUACAAUAAGUGAUCUCCUUUCAGCCUCCUGCAAGAACUAGACCUUGAUCGAACUUCCAUAGUGGAUGGAUAUCGGAUGAGCUUCUACGAUGGAC